GAACGCUGGCGGCAGGCUUAACACAUGCAAGUCGAGCGGUAACAGGGGGUGCUUGCACCCCGCUGACGAGCGGCGGACGGGUGAGUAAUGCUUAGGAAUCUGCCCAGUAGUGGGGGAUAGCCCGGGGAAACCCGGAUUAAUACCGCAUACGUCCUACGGGAGAAAGCAGGGGAUCUUCGGACCUUGCGCUAUUGGAUGAGCCUAAGUCGGAUUAGCUAGUUGGUGGGGUAAAGGCCUACCAAGGCCACGAUCCGUAGCUAGUUUGAGAGGAUGAUCAGCCACAUCGGGACUGAGACACGGCCCGAACUCCUACGGGAGGCAGCAGUGGGGAAUAUUGGACAAUGGGGGCAACCCUGAUCCAGCCAUGCCGCGUGUGUGAAGAAGGCUUUCGGGUUGUAAAGCACUUUCAGUAAGGAGGAAAACCUUACGGUUAAUAACCGUGAGGCUUGACGUUACUUACAGAAGAAGCACCGGCUAACUCCGUG
rnacentral:rRNA from 1 species